CACUCCGGUAGCCUAGUGGUUAGAGCGUUUGCCUCAGGUGCAGGAGGUCGCGGGUUCGAACCCUGGCUGAGUCA